rnacentral:rRNA from 1 species
UACGAAGGGGGCUAGCGUUGUUCGGAAUCACUGGGCGUAAAGCGCACGUAGGCGGCGCGUUAAGUCAGGGGUGAAAUCCUGGAGCUCAACUCCAGAACUGCCUUUGAUACUGGCGUGCUCGAGUGUGGGAGAGGUUGGUGGAACUCCGAGUGUAGAGGUGAAAUUCGUAGAGAUUCGGAAGAACACCAGUGGCGAAGGCGGCCAACUGGCCCAUUACUGACGUUGAGGUGCGAAAGAGUGGGGAGCAAACAGG